rnacentral:rRNA from 1 species
UACAGAGGUGGCAAGCGUUGUUCGGAAUUACUGGGCGUAAAGGGCGCGUAGGCGGUCCCGUCAGUCCCUUGUGAAAUCCCCCGGCUCAACUGGGGAACUGCAAGGGAUACAGCGGGGCUUGAGUUCGGGAGAGGGAAGCGGAAUUCCGGGUGUAGCGGUGAAAUGCGUAGAUAUCCGGAGGAACACCGGCGGCGAAGGCGGCAUCCUGGACCGGGAUUGACACUGAGGCGCGAAAGCCAGGGGAGCAAACGGG